rnacentral:rRNA from 1 species
CCUACGGGAUGCAGCAGUGGGGAAUAUUGCACAAUGGGGGAAACCCUGAUGCAGCGACGCCGCGUGAGUGAAGAAGGAUUUCGGUAUGUAAAGCUCUAUCAGCAGGGAAGAAAAAAGACGGUACCUGACUAAGAAGCCCCGGCUAACUACGUGCCAGCAGCGGCGGUAAAACGUAGGGUGCAAGCGUUAUCCGGAUUUACUGGGGGGAAAGGGAGCGUAGACGGCGCGGCAAGUCUGAAGUGAAAGGCAUGGGCUUAACCCAUGAGCUGCUUUGGAAACUUCCAUGCUAGGGUGCUGGAGAGGUGAGUGGAAGUCCUAGGGUAGCGGUGAAAUGCGUAGAUAUUAGGAGGAACACCAGUGGCGAAGGCGGCUUACUGGACAGUAACUGACGUUGAGGCUCGAAAGCGUGGGGAGCAAACAGGAUUAGAUACCCUUGUAGGC